rnacentral:rRNA from 1 species
UACAGAGGUCUCAAGCGUUGUUCGGAUUCAUUGGGCUUAAAGGGUGCGUAGGCGGCGCGGUAAGUCGGGUGUGAAAUCUCGGGGCUUAACUCCGAAACUGCAUUCGAUACUACCGUGCUUGAGGACUGGAGAGGAGACUGGAAUUUACGGUGUAGCGGUGAAAUGCGUAGAUAUCGUAAGGAAGACCAGUGGCGAAGGCGGGUCUCUGGACAGUUCCUGACGCUGAGGCACGAAGGCCUGGGGAGCAAACGGG